AGCCGGGCGGCGGUUGCGCGGCAGGCGGAGGCGUCGCGCGAAGAGAAGGGGAUUGGCGCUGGGAAUUUGGGCGCGCGCGCGGAGGAGGGAGGAGGCGGGAGCGGUGGCCAUGGCGGCCGUCCGGAGGUCUCGCCCGCCCGGAUGAGAGCCUCAGGGUGCCCGGCCGCCUCGCUUAGGGGGCUGCGCCGCGGAGGAGGGGAGGGGAGGAGGUGGUGGUGACCAUGGAUGGAACGGGCCGAGUCGACGACGUGUAGGUGGCAGGUGGUGGUGGGAAAUUGAGUUACGGAAGAGUGGACGUGGUGAAGUGGAGAGGGAUGGCGACGUGGACUGCUCGGGGGAGGAGGAGGUCGCUAAUCUGCCUGUUAGAAAUUAAUUAGUAGAUUAAUUCAAGUGAUAUGUUCAACCCGAACAGUCGUGUCUCCUCUUUGUGUUUCUGGAGGGAUGCCUCCGAACAAACACUUCUUCUUCGCACAUCUUCCAGAUGUAUAUAUACUUAAGAAUCAAUAGAAAGAGGACUGCUG
rnacentral:lncRNA from 1 species